rnacentral:rRNA from 1 species
AGAGUUUGAUCCUGGCUCAGGACGAACGCUGGCGGCGUGCUUAACACAUGCAAGUCGAACGGAAAGGCCCUUCGGGGUACUCGAGUGGCGAACGGGUGAGUAACACGUGGGUGAUCUGCCCCGCACUUUGGGAUAAGCCUGGGAAACUGGGUCUAAUACCGAAUAUGACCACGCUCUUCAUGGGGUGUGGUGGAAAGCUUUUGCGGUGUGGGAUGGGCCCGCGGCCUAUCAGCUUGUUGGUGGGGUAAUGGCCUACCAAGGCGACGACGGGUAGCCGGCCUGAGAGGGUGACCGGCCACACUGGGACUGAGAUACGGCCCAGACUUCUACGGGAGGCAGCAGUGGGGAAUAUUGCACAAUGGGCGCAAGCCUGAUGCAGCGACGCCGCGUGAGGGAUGACGGCCUUCGGGUUGUAAACCUCUUUCACCAGGGACGAAGCGCAAGUGACGGUACCUGGAGAAGAAGCACCGGCCAACUACGUGCCAGCAGCCGCGGUAAUACGUAGGGUGCGAGCGUUGUCCGGAAUUACUGGGCGUAAAGAGCUCGUAGGUGGUUUGUCGCGUUGUUCGUGAAAACUCACAGCUUAACUGUGGGCGUGCGGGCGAUACGGGCAGACUAGAGUACUGCAGGGGAGACUGGAAUUCCUGGUGUAGCGGUGGAAUGCACAGAUAUCAGGAGGAACACCGGUGGCGAAGGCGGGUCUCUGGGCAGUAACUGACGCUGAGGAGCGAAAGCGUGGGGAGCGAACAGGAUUAGAUACCCUGGUAGUCCAA